rnacentral:rRNA from 1 species
AGCCGCGGUAAUUCCAGCUCCAAUAGCGUAUAUUAAAGUUGUUGCGGUUAAAAAGCUCGUAGUUGGAUCUCGGCGGGCAGGGGGUGGUUCGCUCUUCAGCGCUACUGCCCCGCUUUGCCCGUGUGAUUGGCGGAGGUUUCGGGGUGCUCUUCGUUGAGUGACUCGGAGCGCCGUCAGGUUUACUUUGAAAAAAUUAGAGUGCUCAAAGCAGGCUUUUCACGCUUGAAUAUUCGUGCAUGGAAUAAUGGAAUAGGAACUCGUUUCUAUUUUGUUGGUUUUCGGAAAUCGAGUUAAUGAUUAACAGGGACAAUUGGGGGCAUUAGUAUUCAGACGACAGAGGUGAAAUUCUUGGACCGUCUGAAGACUGACUACUGCGAAAGCAUUUGCCAAGAGUGUUUUCAUUAAUCAAGAACGAAAGUUAGAGGUUCGAAGGCGAUCAGAUACCGCCCUAGUUCUAACCAUAAACGAUGCCAGCUAGCGAUCUGCCGAGUUUUUUUUGUAGGCUCCGCAGGAAGCUUUCGGGAAACCAACGCUUUUGGGUUCCGGGGGAAGUAUGGUUGCAAAGCUGAAACUUAAAGGAAUUGACGGAAGGGCACCACCAGGAGUGGAGCCUGCGGCUUAAUUUGACUCAACACGGGAAAUCUCACCAGGCCCGGACACUGGAAGGAUUGACAGAUUGAGAGCUCUUUCUCGAUUCGGUGGGUGGUGGUGCAUGGCCGUUCUUAGUUGGUGGAGUGAUUUGUCUGGUUAAUUCCGAUAACGAACGAGACUCUGUCCUGCUAAAUAGUUGGGUCGUCCUUCGUGCGAUCCAAGUUCUUCUUAGAGGGACUGGCUGCGUCUAGCAGCACGAGAUUGAGCAAUAACAGGUCUGUGAUGCCCAAGGCGAUCGUUAAGCUUGCAGACUAGU